UACACUGGCUCCACCCACAGUUUAGAAUUCAAUUUAAAAUCCUCCUCCUCACGUACAAAGCAAUUAAUGGUCAGGCCCCUUCAUACCUGAAAGACCUAGUCUUACCUUAUCACACUAACAGACCACUUAGGUCACAAAAUACAGGUUUACUUGUGGUUCCCAGAGUCUGUAAGAGCAGAAUGGGAGGCGGAGCCUUCAGUUACCAGGCUCCUCCUCUCCUGUGGAACCAGCUUCCAAUGACAGUUCGGGAGGCGGAGCCUCUCUCUGUAUUUAAAGUUAGACUUCAAACUUUCCUUUUUGAUAAAGCUUAUAGUUAGAGCUGGUUCAGGGAAACCUGGACCAGCUCUUAGUUCUGCUGCUAUAAACCUAGACUGCUGGGGGAUUUUCCUGUGGUGCACGCACAUUCACUCUCUCACACUCAGGGUGCUGAGCCUAUGGUGGUGGAUUGGUGUCCUGGUCACGGUGUCCCCUUUGUAUUGUGUUUGCACUUGGUAGCUUCUUUGUUUUGUUUACUUUUAUUUGCUUCACGUGUGGUGUUCCUGGGAUCCCCUUUCCCUUUGGAUACAGUUUUUCACGGUAGGUCUCAGCACUGAUUGGCUCCCCUUAUGUCCCCUUAAGUGAGUAAUUUUUACAUUAUUUUUAAAACAGAAAUUUAUGUAAUUGUUGCCAGACAACGCCACCUUGGGAAUUUCACCCAGGGAUUUCUUAUAAGUGGACUAACCCAAAUGAAGGAAGGCACUGAGGUCUGUUAUGCAACGAGACGGACGACAGUUCGAUAAUACAAAAUACUUUUAUUUAUACAAAUUUCUGUUUUAAAAAUAAUGUAAAAAAUUACUCACUUAAGGGGAGCCAAUCAGUAAAAAAGUAAAAAACAAAGAAGCUACCAAGUGCAAACACAAUACAAAGGGGACACCGUGACCAGGACUUUGCCCCUGGAGAUGUUCGUCGUAGAUGAUUCUGCACCUUGCAACUCGUGGAUCACUGGGAGAGUUGUGCAAGCAGUUCCAGAUCAAAGAGGACUUGUGUGCCAGAUUUGUAUCAAAACAAGGACUGGGUUUUUGGAUAGACCCAUCACGAAGGUUUGUCUUCUUCAAGAGGCAGAAGAGCCAUGAAGACUUGCAGAUUUUGAAAGAACUGACGUACGUGGACUUUGACUAUUUUGUAGGUUGGAUUGAUUAUUUAGACUAUACAGUAGAUUUCCUGGUUGUUAGAAAUAUGAGAUGUUUUUCUUUUCUGACAUUUAGCAUUUUGUCUCCCACAUAUUAGCAGUUAUGUAAUUAUUGCUUCAGCAUAAUUAGGGGCUGGAAUGUAGGAGUCAUACAUUUUGUUUUGCUUUUGAAUAAAGUAAGACCUAAGUGUUGAGUUAAUGCUGGAAUUGGUGCACAUGGGUGAUGGAUGUGUCACUACCGCGAGUAUGUAGGAAUAAAUCACUGCUGUCCCCAGUUCACUGGUUGCUGGUUGUCAGUCAUGAUGUAGGGUGAGCACGGUGGAGCGGUGAAAUCUUUUGUUGUCCGCAUCAAUGCAUGUUUUGUUUGCUGUGUGUAUUAUUUCUCUCUUUGCUAACAAGCCACGAGUGUCGUGCAGAGUUUGGCGUGAUGAAUAAAGAGUGGUAGAGCCACAGAGACA